UGGUUCCCGCAUCGAUGAAGAACGCAGCGAAACGCGAUAGUUAAUGUGAAUUGCAGAAUUCAGUGAAUCAUCGAGUCUUUGAACGCACAUUGCGCCUUUUGGUAUUCCGAGAGGCACGCCUGUCUGAGCGUCAGCAAAACCCUUCGGCUGUCAAUUUUUAUUGCGGCCGGCGUUGGCGGCGGGUAAGAACUUCGGUUCCCCCACGCUUAAACCGAACGGCGGGGCGAAUUUGGCCGCAGCAAUAGUAGAAAUAUCUUUGCCAGCAACCAUCUGAACCCCCGGCCGCAAAUAUCUUUAAAUUUUUGACCUCAGAUCAGACGAGGAUACCCGCUGA
rnacentral:misc_RNA from 1 species